rnacentral:rRNA from 1 species
UACUAGAGUAGCACUCGCAUAUCAAUAAGCGGAGGAAAAGAAACUAACAAGGAUUCCCCUAGUAACGGCGAGUGAAGCGGGAAGAGCUCAAAUUUGAAAUCUUAAAGGGUUUCCCUUUACGAAUUGUAGUUUAAAGAAGUGUUUUCUGUUGAGGUUUUGGUAAAAGUUCUUUGGAAUAGGACAUCAUAGAGGGUGAGAAUCCCGUAUUUGACCUUUACUUUCAACUUUGUGAUACACUUUCAAAGAGUCGGAUUGUUUGGGAAUGCAGUCCAAAAUGGGUGGUAAAUUUCAUCUAAAGCUAAAUAUUGGCGAGAGACCGAUAGCGAACAAGUACCGUGAGGGAAAGAUGAAAAGAACUUUGAAAAGAGAGUUAAACAGUACGUGAAAUUGUUAAAAGGGAAGCGUUUGACACCAGUGUUGUUUUUCUGAAAAUCAAUUAAAGAACUGUUUAUGCUAAGUUGUUUAGACUUUAUCAGCUAACUGUUUAGUUUUGAGCUUUUCUUUAAUGCACUUUUCAGUUAACAAGUCAACAUCAAUUUCUUUUGCUGUAAAAAAGCUUGAGGAAGGUGGCUUGAGAUUCGUCUUAAGUGUUUAUAGCCUCUUGCCUAUGCAGUCGGAGAGAUUGAGGUCUGCAGCGUAGAUCCUUCGGGGCUAAAUGCAUUUGUGCUAAGUUAUAGCAUUUUAUAGACAACUUGUUGACUAUGAUUUGUCUUGUAGCUUACUCGCUUAUGUUAUUUUACCUACGCUUAGGAUGUUGAGUCAUCACACAUCUCU